rnacentral:rRNA from 1 species
AGAGUUUGAUCCUGGCUCAGAUUGAACGCUGGCGGCAUGCUUUACACAUGCAAGUCGAACGGUAACGCGGGGGGUAACCCCUGGCGACGAGUGGCGAACGGGUGAGUAAUACAUCGGAACAUGUCCUGGAGUGGGGGAUAGCUCGGCGAAAGCCGGAUUAAUACCGCAUACGCUCUGAGGAGGAAAGCGGGGGACUCGUAAGGGCCUCGCGCUGCGGGAGUGGCCGAUGUCGGAUUAGCUAGUUGGUGAGGUAAAGGCUCACCAAGGCGACGAUCCGUAGCUGGUCUGAGAGGAUGAUCAGCCACACUGGGACUGAGACACGGCCCAGACUCCUACGGGAGGCAGCAGUGGGGAAUUUUGGACAAUGGGGGCAACCCUGGUCCAGCCAUGCCGCGUGAGUGAAGAAGGCCUUCGGGUUGUAAAGCUCUUUCGGACGGGACGAAAUGGUUACGGUGAAUAGCUGUGACUGAUGACGGUACCGUAAUAAGAAGCACCGGCUAACUACGUGCCAGCAGCCGCGGUAAUACGUAGGGUGCGAGCGUUGUUCGGAAUUACUGGGCGUAAAGGGCGCGUAGGCGGCUUAUCAAGUCAGGCGUGAAAUUCCCGGGCUCAACCUGGGGGCUGCGCUUGAUACUGAUUGGCUUGAAUGCGGGAGAGGAUAGUGGAAUUCCCAGUGUAGAGGUGAAAUUCGUAGAUAUUGGGAAGAACACCAGUGGCGAAGGCGGCUAUCUGGCCCGUAAUUGACGCUGAGGCGCGAAAGCGUGGGAGCAAACAGGAUUAGAUACCUGGUAGUCCACGCCGUAAACGAUGAAUGCUAGACGUUGGCGAGCAUGCUCGUCAGUGUCGCAGCUAACGCAUUAAGCAUUCCGCCUGGGGAGUACGGUCGCAAGAUUAAAACUCAAAGGAAUUGACGGGGGCCCGCACAAGCGGUAGAGCAUGUGGUUUAAUUCGAAGCAACGCGCAGAACCUUACCAACCCUUGACAUGGGGAGUAUGGGCCGGAGAGAUCCGGUCCUUCAGUUCGGCUGGCUCCCACACAGGUGCCGAAUGGCUGUCGUCAGCUCGUGUCGUGAGAUAUUGGGUUGAGUCCCGCAACGAGCGCAACCCCUAUCUUCAGUUGCCAUCAUUGAGUUGGGCACUCUGAAGAAACUGCCGGUGACAAGCCGGAGGAAGACGGGGAUGACGUCAAGUCCUCAUGGCCCUUACGGGUUGGGCUACACACGUGCUACAAUGGUGGUGACAAUGGGGAGCGAGGCUGCGAGGCCAAGCCAAUCUCAAAAAGCCAUCUCAGUUCGGAUUGCACUCUGCAACUCGAGUGCAUGAAGUUGGAAUCGCUAGUAAUCGUGGAUCAGCAUGCCACGGUGAAUACGUUCCCGGGCAUUGUACACACCGCCCGUCACACCAUGGGAGUUGGUUUUACCCGAAGCCGGUGAGCGAACCUGAAAGGGACGAAGCCGACCACAGUAAGGUCAGCGACUGGGGUGAAGUCGUAACAAGGUAACC